rnacentral:rRNA from 1 species
UACAGAGGGUGCGAGCGUUAAUCGGAAUUACUGGGCGUAAAGCGUGCGUAGGCGGUUUGUUAAGUCCGUUGUGAAAGCCCUGGGCUCAACCUGGGAAUUGCAGUGGAUACUGGCGAGCUAGAGUGCGGUAGAGGAUGGUGGAAUUCCCGGUGUAGCGGUGAAAUGCGUAGAUAUCGAGAGGAACACCGGUGGCGAAGGCGGCUACCUGGACGGCUAUUGACGCUGAGACGCGAAAGCGUGGGGAGCAAACAGG